CAGAAACCUCAUCAAUGGAUGCAUCAAUGAGGACAAGUUCAUCUCCUGAAGAGGUCGACAGAUCUGGUGAGCUCUCUGUGUCCAUCAGCAAUGCAAGCGACCAGGAGAGGGAGUGGGUUGAGGAAGACGAACCUGGCGUAUAUAUUACCAUCCGGGCUCUGCCUGGCGGUAUCAGAGAACUCCGGCGUGUUCGAUUCAGGUUUUUCUUCCAUCCUCCUUUAUAUUAGUAAAUAAUGUCUUGGUAGUGUUCCGGAUCCCUGAAUUCACAUAGUAGAAAAAGGUUAGUCAUCUGAUAAUUCUGAGCAUGCACUAGGCUGCAAGUAAGAACAACAGCUUGAUGCUAAUCGCCCAGGUUGAAUCCCUAUGAUCAAACAAUUUGGAAGCAACUGAAUUACUAGCUAGCAGGUGAUCACGGCAAGAGACUUACCAUCCCCUUUGCUUUGCAGCCGAGAGAGAUUCAGCGA
rnacentral:lncRNA from 1 species